CCUACGGGUGGCAGCAGUGGGGGAUAUUGCACAAUGGGGGGAACCCUGAUGCAGCGACGCCGCGUGGGUGAAGGAGUGCUUCGGCAUGUAAAGCCCUAUCGGCAGGGAAGAAGCAAGACGGUACCUGACUAAGAAGCCCCGGCUAACUACGUGCCAGCAGCCGCGGUAAUACGUAGGGGGCGAGCGUUAUCCGGAUUCACUGGGUGUAAAGGGAUCGUAGACGGCCAUGCAAGCCAGGGGUGAAAGCCCGGGGCCCAACCCCGGGACUGCCCUUGGAACUGUGCGGCUAGAGUGCGGGAGGGGCAGGCGGAAUGCCUGGUGUAGGGGUGAAAUGCGUAGAGAUCAGGAGGAACACCGGCGGCGAAGGCGGCCUACUGGACCGCGACUGACGUUGAGGCUCGAAAGCGUGGGGAGCGAACAGGAUUAGAUACCCGGGUAGUC
rnacentral:rRNA from 1 species